rnacentral:rRNA from 1 species
UCAAGCUAAUAAGAGCAUAAGGCGGAUGCCUUGGCAACAGGAGCCGAAGAAGGACGUGACAAGCUGCGAUAAGCUGCGGGGAGGUGCAAAUAACCUUUGAUCCGCAGAUGUCCGAAUGGGGGAACCCACAUACAGUAAUGUGUAUGUACCGUAUGGUGAAUAAAUAGCCAUACAGGAGGUGACCCGGUGAACUGAAACAUCUAAGUAGCCGGAGGAAGAGAAAGAAACAUCGAUCCCCUGAGUAGCGGCGAGCGAAAGGGGAAGAGCCCAAACCAUGCUACGGCAUGGGGUUGUGGACCAUCACAAGUCACAGAUCAUCAUAACCGAAUACAACUGGAAAGUUGAACCGCAGAAGGUAAAGGUCCUGUAGGUGAAAUGAUGAGACGGACGGAUGGCACCAGAGUAGCACCGGACACGUGAAACCCGGUGUGAAGCAGGGAGGACCGCCUCCCAAGGCUAAAUACUACCUGUUGACCGAUAGAGAACAGUACCGUGAGGGAAAGGUGAAAAGAACCCCGGGAGGGGAGUGAAACAGAACCUGAAACCUUAUGCUUACAAGCAGAGGGAGCGCAAGUGACCUCGUACUUUUUGUAGAACGGGCCAACGAGUUGCGGUAUAUGGCAAGGUUAAGGUGUUAAGCACCGGAGCCGUAGCGAAAGCGAGUCUUAAAAGGGCCAGAGUCGUAUGCUGCAGACCCGAAACCGGGUGACCUAUCCAUGUGCAGGUUGAAGCGGGAGUAAAAUCUCGUGGAGGACCGAACCCAUAUCCGUUGAAAAGGGUUGGGAUGACGUGUGGAUAGCGGUGAAAUUCCAAUCGAACUCGGAGAUAGCUGGUUCUCCUCGAAAUAGCUUUAGGGCUAGCCUUGUUUAGUAGCAUGUGGAGGUAAAGCACUGAAUAUGUGAGGGUUCUUACCAGAAUACCGAUCAUUAUCAAACUCUGAAUGCCAUGUGUGUAAGAACAGGAGUCAGACAGUGACAGCUAAGUGCCAUUGUCAAAAGGGAAAGAGCCCAGACCAACAGCUAAGGUCCCAAAAUUGUAGUUAAGUGGAAAAGGAUGUGGGAAUUCAUAGACAACCAGGAUGUUGGCUCAGAAGCAGCCAUUCAUUUAAAGAGUGCGUAAAAGCUCACUGGUCGAAGUAGGCCUGCGCCGAAAAUUACCGGGGCUAAACUACAUACCGAAGCUUUGGAUUUGGUACGUAAAGUAUUAAGUGGUAGAGGAGCGUUGUAUAAAGGUUGAAGCUAUACUGAAAAGAGUAGUGGACGAUAUACAAGAGAGAAUGCCGGAAUAAGUAGCGAGAGCACAGUGAGAAUCUGUGCCGCCGAAAACCUAAGGUUUCCUGGGGAAGGUUCGUCCGCCCAGGGUAAGUCGGGACCUAAGACGAGGCUAAAGCAGCGUAGUCGAUGGAAAGCAGGUAAAAGAUUCCUGCACUACCGAAAUGCGAUAUACAAUAUAUCAUGACGCAUCAGAAGAGUCUAAGCGAGCAAAUGGAAAAGUUCGUACCGCAAGGUGGAGUGAAAAAUAGUAACGAAGUAGAUAAAUCAGGUGACAAGAAAAGUGAUAUAGGAGCAUAGAGGUACUCGUACCGUAAACCGACACAGGUAGGAAGAAAGAGAAUUUUCAGGCGAACGAGAGAAUCAUUGUUAAGGAACUCGGCAAAUUAACCCCGUAACUUAGGGAUAAGGGGAGCCAAUAGCGAUAUUGGUCGCAGAGAAAUGGCCCAAGCAACUGUUUAGCAAAAACACAGGUUUCUGCCAAAUCGAAAGAUGAAGUAUAGGAGCUGACGCCUGCCCAGUGCUGGAAGGUCAAGGGGAAGAGUAAACGUUUCGAUGUGAAGCUCUGAACUUAAGCCCCAGUGAACGGCGGCCGUAACUAUAACGGUCCUAAGGUAGCGAAAUUCCUUGUCAGGUAAGUUCUGACCCGCACGAAAGGCGUAAUGAUUUGGGCACUGUCUCGACAAUGAACUCGGCGAAAUUGUAGUACUAGUGAAGAUGCUAGUUACCUGCGAUAAGACAGAAAGACCCCAUGGAGCUUUACUGCAGUUUGAUACUGGGUUUCGAUGAUUUAUGUACAGGAUAGUUGGGAGACUAUGAAAGAGAGGCGUCAGCUUCUCCGGAGUCAAUGUUGGGAUACCAACCUUAAGUUAUUGAAAUUCUAACCUGUGAUCAUUAACUGGUCAGGGAACAAUGUCAGACGGGCAGUUUGACUGGGGCGGUCGCCUCCUAAAGAGUAACGGAGGCGCCCAAAGGUUCCCUCAGUGCGGUCGGAAAUCGCGCGAAGAGUGUAAAGGCAGAAGGGAGCUUGACUGCGAGACAGACAAGUCGAGCAGGGACGAAAGUCGGGCUUAGUGAUCCGGUGGUUCCGCGUGGAAGGGCCAUCGCUCAACGGAUAAAAGCUACCCUGGGGAUAACAGGCUGAUACCGCCCAAGAGUUCACAUCGACGGCGGUGUUUGGCACCUCGAUGUCGGCUCGUCGCAUCCUGGGGCUGAAGUAGGUCCCAAGGGUUGGGCUGUUCGCCCAUUAAAGAGGUACGCGAGCUGGGUUCAGAACGUCGUGAGACAGUUCGGUCCCUAUCCGCUGUGGGCGUUGGAGGUUUGAGUGGAGCUGCCCUUAGUACGAGAGGACCGGGGUGGACAUACCGCUGGUGCACCGGUUGCAGUGCCAACUGCACAGCCGGGUAGCUAAGUAUGGAAGGGAUAAGCGCUGAAAGCAUCUAAGUGCGAAGCCCCCCACGAGAAAAGACCUCCUUGAGAAUAUCUGAAGAUCCCUGGAAGACUAACAGGUAGAUAGGUCGGAGGUGUAAGUGCAGCGAUGCAUGUAGCUGACCGAUACUAAUAGAUCGAACGCUUGAUCAA